rnacentral:rRNA from 1 species
UACGGGGGGGGCAAGCGUUGUUCGGAAUUACUGGGCGUAAAGGGCUUGUAGGUGGCCAACUAAGUCAGACGUGAAAUCCCUCAGCUUAACUGGGGAACUGCGUCUGAUACUGGAUGGCUUGAGUUUGGGAGAGGGAUGCGGAAUUCCAGGUGUAGCGGUGAAAUGCGUAGAUAUCUGGAGGAACACCGGUGGCGAAGGCGGCAUCCUGGACCAACACUGACACUGAGGAGCGAAAGCGUGGGGAGCGAACAGG